UGUCACAGAACUGCCGCUGGGACUGAAAGGGUUAAGAAAAAGAGCUUCCGUCGUAUCCCUUAUCUUUUUACACUUUAUUUCUGGUCCAUCACUGAAGUUUCCCGAAGUUCGAAGACAGUAAAAGGUUUGCCAAUAGGGGAAAGAAGAAGUUCAAAAAAAUUGUUGUCGAUACUACAAAGUGUCUUCUAACGAGAAACGUAUCACUUUUAUUGUCUCUACCUGGUAUGGGACAAGUUGGAAACGACCAGUUGGCUCCCUACACGAGUAAACUGUCUGAUGGCUUAUGGAGCCGAUAUUGCUAGAGUUGAAGAGGCCUAUAAACAAGUUUUCGACGGGAAACGCUUCGCUCGGCAAUACUUUCUCGCAAAACUAUUCCAACCCUGGCUGGAGAAUGUUUUCCUCGACAACUCGAGAACGCUUACGUGCAGCUGGACAGUAAUGCUUUUUCAAAUUUACCGUUUUCCACCGCAGCAGCCAAGUAUUCCAUAUGUGGUAGCCAUGCUGGAGGAGUUCAAAAGAAAAAAAAAACCUGGCUUAAACGACAAAAACGUUAUACAAAUAGAAUAAAGGAAGUUAACACCCUUGGAAAAUUCUUCCAAUGGCAACAAUGAUAACAGCAGCCUCUGACCAAUAGAUCUAAAAAUUCAACAAUACUUGGAUUUAUCUAUUUAUUCAGAAAGUAUCCUGAAGUUACUACUGAUUCUCUAUGACCUAAAGACAAUUGAAGUUGACCUAGUUAUCACCUAGAAAAGGAAGCAUAUCGGAUCCUACCACUUUCCUUAUUGCAUAUAUCUUCUGGCAGGUAUCUUAUAUCAGGAGAUAUACCAAAGAGAAUAGAGUGCAGUCAUGGAACAGAAUAUGAUAUCAAGUCAGUAUACAUACGUAAAGUCCCUUCUAUUUCUUUGAAUUUAAAUAUGAAAACGUAUGACGAAUUUUAUUCUGUCUCACAAGAUCUAUCAUCACAUUAGAAUUUUACCCUGGAUUACCAAAGGGUACAGGAGGUUUCGUAUCUCUUCGAUAAGGUAUACACCUUAGAUAGCAUCCAGAGAAUACAGUAGCUUGCAGUAUAUAAGAAAGCAUUCCCGUGGGACGAAGCAGAAAAGCAAUUGAGGAAACGGUCCAUUCCAGAACCAGAAGACGUACAGCCUCAAUUUUUCAGUCUGGACGCAAAUGCCAAGCGCGAAACGUAGCUAUUUACUGGAAGUCUUGAACAAGA